CCUUAGAUGUUCUGGGCCGCACGCGCGCUACACUGACGGGGCCAACGAGUAUAAUCCUUGGCCGAAAGGUCUGGGUAAUCUUGUUAAACCCCGUCGUGCUGGGGAUAGGGCAUUGCAAUUAUUGCCCUUCAACGAGGAAUUCCUAGUAAGCGCAAGUCAUCAGCUUGCGUUGAUUACGUCCCUGCCCUUUGUACACACCGCCCGUCGCUACUACCGAUUGAAUGGCUCAGUGAGGCCUUCGGAUUGGCCCAGGGAGAGGGGCAACCCUCACCCAGGGCCGAGAAGUUGGUCAAACUUGGUCAUUUAGAGGAAGUAAAAGUCGUAACAAGGUUUCCGUAGGUGAACCUGCGGAAGGAUCAUUACAAAAUCCGGCCCUCCGGGGCCACUGGCAGAAGGCGCAAGCCCGAACCAGUCAACCCUCCGUGAAAAGACCCUUUUGCCUCGGCGGCCAGCCCGCCGGGGUAAAUUCAAAACUCACUUUUGAAAACCUCAGUCAGAACUAAAGUCUAAUGACUAUAAAACUUUCAACAACGGAUCUCUUGGUUCCCGCAUCGAUGAAGAACGCAGCGAAACGCGAUAGUUAAUGUGAAUUGCAGAAUUCAGUGAAUCAUCGAGUCUUUGAACGCACAUUGCGCCUCCUGGUAUUCCGGGAGGCACGUCCGUUUGAGCGUCAGCUUCAACCCUCCGGCGGCUUUUCGCUGCCGGGACCUGGCGGGGCGGUCAGCGCCCCGNUUAAACACGAAGGUAGCCAGGCAGCCGCGCCGCGAACGACUCGUAAAUACUUAUCUGUCGCCGAACGGUGCCGGUGCCGGGCCAGACCCGGUCCUCGGACCAGAACCUUUGACCUCAAAUCGGACGAGGAUACCCGCUGAACUUAAGCAUAUCAAUAAGCGGAGGAAAAGAAACCAACAGGGAUUGCCUCAGUAGCGGCGAGUGAAGCGGCAAGAGCUCAGAUUUGAAAUCCGGCGCGGCCCCCGCGCCCGAGUUGUAAUCUGGAGAGGAUGCCCCGGCGAGGCCGGCCGUCCAAGUUCCUUGGAACAGGACGUCUAAGAGGGUGAGAACCCCGUACCCGGCGGCCUGCCUAGCCGCGUGGGGCUCCUUCGACGAGUCGAGUUGUUUGGGAAUGCAGCUCAAACUGGGUGGUAAAUUCCAUCUAAAGCUAAAUACCGGCGGGAGACCGAUAGCGCACAAGUAGAGUGAUCGAAAGAUGAAAAGCACUUUGAAAAGAGAGUUAAACAGUACGUGAAAUUGUUGAAAGGGAAGCGCUUGCCAUCAGAACGGGGCCCGGCCGAUCAGCGUUCCUUCUGGUUCGUGCACUCGGCCGGCGCCCCUGCCAGCAUCGGCGGCCGCGGCGGGACAAAGGCGGCGGGAACGUGGCUCCCCCCGGGGAGUGUUACAGCCCGCCGCGCAAUGCCGCCAGCAGGCCGCCGAGGACCGCGCGCAAGCAAGGAUGCUGGCCUAAUGGUCGUAAGCGAC
rnacentral:rRNA from 1 species